GUCGUUUACGUUGAGUUGAUUAAGUUCCUCCGUAUCGGGCGUGAUAAAGUUUGCUGUUCAGUGUUAUGUUUUUUGUGAGAUAGAGACUCUUUUAAAUAAGCUGUGUUUCAACUUCUACAGAAGUUUAAACUCUUAUUUACUUUUCUGUUUAAUGGGUAUGUUAUCUACUUACUUGAAAUAUUAGAUCUAUUACAAAUCUAUUUUUCAUUAAAAACAACCCUAUGUGAUGAAAAUGUAAAUUUACUUUCAAAACUGGUAAAUGCAUGAACCAGGGCAUUGACACUGGUUGGAGAGAAAUUAUAGGCUUUUGUUUAAUUAAUACCUAUUUCAUUUUAGGCUUCUACUGAUAAUGGAGAGUAGAAACAACAAGAAGUGCGUUAUUUGUAAUAAGAGGCGAAGUCGUGGUGGAUCACCCUUACUUUUGAGUAGGUUUCCUCUGGAUUCUGACCGUUGUCGAAUGUGGGUUAAAAAUGCUGGCAUAGAAGACUUAGCAUAUGUACCUAUUGAAAAGUUACACCAACUGAAGUUUGUUUGUGGUGGGCACUUCACUCCUGAAUCCUUCAAUGCCAAAGGAACUCGGCUGAAGAACUCAGCUAUUCCAACACUGGAAUUGAGCAAUCCCAUCUUGCCAGAUGAAGUUUUGACAGAGUUUCCUCUUCAUGUAAAAGACUCCAAUAAAGAAAACCUCAAGAAAGUUCUUUAUGAUCAUUCAUAUUGCAUUCCAAAGAAGUCAAAUCCAGUUGAACGAGGUAUGUUUAUCUAAAAUUAUACUAAUAAUAUAAAAAGGAAAUAUUUAAUUGUUUGUUUGUAUUUGAUCGGCUCCGUAACUCGAAGCCAAGAUAGCCUAAAGUGCGGGUUAGAACCCCACAGCUUGAAUAUUGUAGUAAACCCACUCGUAACACAAUUUAGCUUA